rnacentral:misc_RNA from 1 species
UUGUUUAUUUAAAAUAUAAACUCAGACAAUUGAUAAAAUAAAGAGUUGUGGUUCCUUUGGUGAAGACUCAUCCAUCGCUUCUCACUCAGUAACGAGCAAUAACAAUCAAUGGGCCAGCCGAAGCAAAACACGCUUCACCAAAGUAAUAUAUUAAGUAACACAAAGGGUGGGAGAUUCCAUGACAAGCAUGGAAAAAUCUCGGUAAUGAUCCUUCCGCAGGUUCACCUACGGAAA